rnacentral:rRNA from 1 species
CCUGGCUCAGAACGAACGCUGGUGGCGUGUCUUAUACAUGCAAGUCGAGCGAGGCAGCAAUGCCGAGCGGCGAACGGGUGAGUAACGCGUAAGCAAUCUGCCCCAUAUCAGGAAAUACCCGUGCCAACGCGCGGUUAAUGUCCAGGAGAGUGGCCCUCUGCAUGGAGGGUUGACUAGAGAUUUAUCGGUAUGGGAUGAGCUUGCGUCCGAUUAGCUAGUUGGCGGGGCAACGGCCCACCAAGGCGACGAUCGGUAGCCGGCCUGAGAGGGUGAUCGGCCACAUUGGGACUGAGAUACGGCCCAGACUCCUACGGGAGGCAGCAGUAGGGAAUAUGCACAAUGGGGGAAACCCUGAUGCAGCAACGCCACGUGUGGGAAGAAGCAUUUCGGUGUGUAAACCACUGUCAUGAGGGAAUAAGGCCCGCCUCCGGACGGGAUUGAAUGUACCUUGAGAGGAAGCACCGGCAAACUUCGUGCCAGCCGCUGC